GGUUUUUUGAAUAAGAUAAGAAAUUUAACCUGCCCACUGAAUUUGUUUUAAAGGGCCGCAGUAUAUUGACUGUGCAAAGGUAGCAUAAUAAUUAGUCUUUUAAUUGAGGGCUGGUAUGAAUGGUUGGAUGAAGUAAGAACUGUUUUAUAUAAAUUAAAUUGAAUUUAGAUUUUAAGUAAAAAUACUUAAGUUAAGUUAAGGGACGAGAAGACCCUAUAGAGUUUAAUAUAUAAAAUAAUAAAUUAAGUUAAAAAUAAGUUUUUAAUUAUUAUAAAACAUAUUUAAUUGGGGAGAUUAAAAGAUAAAAUAAACUUUUUUUUAAGUUAAAUUUAUUAAGAAAUUAUGUGAUCCAUUAUUAGUGAUUAAAAGAUUAAAUUACCUUAGGGAUAACAGCAUAAUUCUUUUUGAAAGUUCAUAUUGAAAAUAGAGUUUGUGACCUCGAUGUUGGAUUAAGAAGGGUAUUUAAUGUAGAUGUUAAGUUACUAAGUCUGUUCGACUUUUAAAAUCUUACA
rnacentral:rRNA from 1 species